GAUGAACGCUGGCGGCGUGCCUAAUACAUGCAAGUCGAGCGAACAGACGAGAGUGCUUGCACUCUCUGACGUUCGCGGCGGACGGGUGAGUCACACGUGGGUAACCUACCUAUAAGACUGGGAUAACUUCGGGAAACCGGAGCUAAUACCGGAUAAUAUUUAGCUUCGCAUGACGCAAUAGUGAAAGACGGUUCUGCUGUCACAUAUAGAUGGACCCGCGGUGUAUUAGCUAGUUGGUGAGGUAACGGCUCACCAAGGCAACGAUACAUAGCCGACCUGAGAGGGUGAUCGGCCACACUGGAACUGAGACACGGCCCAGACUCCUACGGGAGGCAGCAGUAGGGAAUCUUCCGCAAUGGGCGAAAGUCUGACGGAGCAAUGCCGCGUGAGUGAAGAAGGUUUUCGGAUCGUAAAACUCUGUUGUAAGGGAAGAACAAGUACGUUAGUAACUGAACGUACCUUGACGGUACCUUACCAGAAAGCCACGGCUAACUACGUG
rnacentral:rRNA from 1 species